rnacentral:rRNA from 1 species
AUUGAACGCUGGCGGCAUGCCUUACACAUGCAAGUCGAACGGCAGCGGACCUUCGGGUGCCGGCGAGUGGCGAACGGGUGAGUAAUAUAUCGGAACGUACCUUUCAGUGGGGGAUAACGUAGGCGAAAGUUACGCUAAUACCGCAUAUUCUGUGAGCAGGAAAGCAGGGGGAUCGCAAGACCUUGCGCUGAUUGAGCGGCCGAUAUCAGAUUAGCUAGUUGGGUGAGGUAAAGGCUCACCAAGGCGACGAUCUGUAGCGGGUCUGAGAGGAUGAUCCGCCACACUGGAACUGAGACACGGUCCAGGACUCCUACGGGAGGCAGGC